rnacentral:rRNA from 1 species
UACGUAGGGGUGCGAGCGUUAAUCGGAAUUACUGGGCGUAAAGCGUGCGCAGGCGGUUUUGCAAGCCGGAUGUGAAAUCCCCCGGGGCUCAACCUGGGGAUGGGCGAUGGUGACUGCAAGGCUAGAGUUUGGCAGAGGGGGGGUAGAAUUCCACGUGUAGCAGUGAAAUGCGUAGAUAUGUGGAGGAACACCGAUGGCGAAGGCAGCCCCCCUGGGUCAAAACUGACGCUCAUGCACGAAAGCGUGGGGAGCAAACAGG